rnacentral:rRNA from 1 species
UACGUAGGGUGCAAGCGUUUGUCCGGAAUUAUUGGGCGUAAAGAGCUCGUAGGCGGUCUGUCGCGUCUGCUGUGAAAACUCGGGGCUUAACCCCGGGCCUGCAGUGGGUACGGGCAGACUAGAGUGCGGUAGGGGAGACUGGAAUUUACGGUGUAGCGGUGAAAUGCGUAGAUAUCGUAAGGAAGACCAGUGGCGAAGGCGGGUCUCUGGACAGUUCCUGACGCUGAGGCACGAAGGUCAGGGGAGCAAACGGG